UGUGUGUGUUGCACAUUAGUGUUUAG
rnacentral:misc_RNA from 1 species